AUUCCAGCUCCAAUAGCGUAUAUUAAAGUUGUUGCAGUUAAAAAGCUCGUAGUUGGAUUUUGAGUUUUGUAAGCUCGGUCAUUUAUUUAAAUGUACUGACUUGCUGGCUCUUCUUCUCGAGGCCUAUGGGUGUACUUAACCGUGUGUUCAUAGUGUUCGGGACUUUUACCGUGAGAAAAUUAGAGUGUUCAUAGCAGGCUUUUGCUUGAAUAUUGCAGCAUGGAAUAAUGGAAUAGGAUCAUGAUCUUAUUUUGUUGGUUUCUAAGAUCAAGAUAAUGAUUAAUAGGGAUAGUUGGGGGCGUUAAUAUUUAGUUGUCAGAGGUGAAAUUCUUAGAUUUACAAAAGAUUAACUUCUGCGAAAGCAUUCGCCAAGGAUGUUUUCAUCG
rnacentral:rRNA from 1 species